rnacentral:rRNA from 1 species
UACGGGGGGAGCAAGCGUUGUUCGGAUUUACUGGGCGUAAAGGGCGCGUAGGCGGCGUGGUAAGUCACUUGUGAAAUCUCCGGGCUUAACUCGGAACGGUCAAGUGAUACUGCUGUGCUAGAGUGCGGAAGGGGCAACUGGAAUUCUCGGUGUAGCGGUGAAAUGCGCAGAUAUCGGGAAGAACACCCGUGGCGAAGGCGGUUCUCUGGGACGGUACUGACGCUGAGACGCGAAAGCGUGGGGAGCGAACAGG